rnacentral:misc_RNA from 1 species
GAUGAAGAACGCAGCGAAAUGCGAUAAGUAAUGCGAAUUGCAGAAUUUCCGUGAGUCAUCGAAUCUUUGAACGCACAUUGCGCCCGGCAGUACUCUGCCGGGCAUGCCUGUUCGAGCGUCAUUUCAACCCUCAAGCCCUGCUUGGUGUUGGGGUCCCACGGCCGCCGUGGGCCCUGAAAGGAAGUGGCGGGCUCGCUACAACUCCGAGCGUAGUAAUUCAUUAUCUCGCUUAGGGCGUUGGGCGGCGCUCCUGCCGUUAAAGAACCAUCUUUAACUCAAGGUUGACCUCGGAUCAGGUAGGAAUACCCGCUGAACUUAAGCAUAUCAAUAAGCGGAGGA